CAGUCUGUUUUCCACAGUAUUGCACUGAGGUCAAGAAACCUUUGGUGCUAGACGGGGAAAACGCAGCAGCCUGGAUGCCCAGCGCUUCCCAAACACCAACAGGGUCUCGGAACUGAAACACAAAUCCCUAAUAAGCUUGCCACACUAUUAACCUGUUUCAUGCAACAAGGAAUUCACAGAUGGAGAUUGAGAGAGAUUUUUGCAUGGUCAUGAAGGCCUGCGAGCAGGAAAAUUGUUCCCUGGUUUCUCAGUUUCCCAUUUAGUGCCGGAAGACAAGGCUGCUCUGUUCGAAGACUGCAGCUGGGUGCUGCUGUGCUGUCCUUCCACUUGACAAGGAAACCAGCGGAGCUACAUCACUUUCCCGUCAUGCUGAAUUCCCUGCAACCUCAGCAAGCCGUCUGCGGCCAGUUCCUUUGUUUUGCUCGGUGGACUGAAUGAGUUACCACUGCGAGCUCUAGGCUUUCCUCUACUCACCCUCAGUACAAAAACAGAGGGCUUCUGCAUGAAAACAUCUCCCUUUUGACAGGUUUCUCAAGAUAUCAUCCGAGAUACGAGAGCUUUGGCCGGAGGCAAAGCAUUGCACAAGGGUUGCACGGUUGUACGUGAGCUGGGAAUGGUGCUGAGAAGAACGGCAACAUUCAUCCGCAAAAUGGAAGAAGUUCCACAGAAAAAGACUCCUGGCUUACAGAGGUUUUGUCCAGCCCACUGCCUGCCUUCUUCCAAGUCGCAUCUCAGAACCAGUGCUCCUUCAUUUUCCUCAGCCUGGUCUAGGGAGGUAGACUAAAUUUCUUAAUGGUUGGGACGUACACGUGUAUAGGGAAGGGAGAAAGAAGGAAACAUCCACAUUCAGCCUGUGGAGCCUGCUCCCAGGACCAGUCACCAUGCCGCUGGGUGCAGCCACAACCUCCUGAAGUGAGUCUGAACGAGACACCUGAAUACCCCAAGGUCCUGGCCUGGUGUGAUUUGUUGAAGGUCAUAGAGGGAGUCUGUGGUAAGGAACUGCGGCCUGGUUAGGUAUGAAUUUUAACCGCUGGGACAAUUUUCAGCUGACUGUCACACUCUACAAUUGUUUAGCUUAUAAGAUGGAGAAAAUCCACAGCAAGAGGCUGAUGGUCUGGAGAACCACUUCAGUAGCCCUUUUAAUUUUUCUUCUGCUCAUAUAACUGUAAGUGGUAUCAAUAAAUGAAGAAUCCUUUGUAAAGGCUGCUAACCUACCUGCUUUAAAAAGCUCUGAAAUACUGAGAUGAAUAACUGACACUUGGGGAAAGGGAGGGAGAGUGAUCUUAUUUUGCUUUGUAAAUCAGAGUAAAUGUAGACCUUAUUGAAGAGUAGCUAAUGGAGAACAUCAAUCUGUUGUUUUUAGUCACUUCUUAGGCUGUCAUUGACAUUUCGAAGCUCCUACGUAACACUGUUGAUUAUAACAACUACUAAUUAAAUCUGGAUUUUUUUUCGGAAAGCCAUCAGCCUUUUUUUUUAAAUGCAUUCAAGAGCUCAUCACUCCGUAAAGAUGUUUUAUUCUUCCCAAGCAUACGCGGACACAAGCAGAAAUAUCCUGAGUUCUCUGGAGAAGAGGUGGCCAUACUCAUCUAUCACCUGCAACCCAGAAAGAGAGAAGCCUGCCUUCUGCGCUGUUUGAAGCAAGGACAGAAUGGGUCCCUGAGAGACUACCAAAUGUAGUUGUAAGCUACAGCUGUAAGAGUUUAUGGUUCUGCAGCCUGAAUAACCAUCAUCACAACAUGAGACAGGACUGGGAAUGAGAGAGCUGGCAGAGGAAGAAGAGGGCAGGUGUCGUCCUUGUUUGGGGGUAAAAAUGGGAUCCCAAUCCUCCCCUGCCAGCCCCUUCACUGCUUUUCUGCUCAACGGGUUUUAAACGUUGAACACGUAUUUGAUGUAGUUGUUAGGGCUGAGAAAUAAGCAAAAGGGGUUGAACAAGCACGCCCGUCCUGUGACUUAUUAGCUUAAUUCACCUAGAAGUUUUUACAGCAAAAUUCCUUAGGUUUUCAUUUUGAAUAAAGGUAACUCAGAUGAGAUCUUUACCCUUGGGCUGCAGAUUACAAUUCAGGCUGCCAGCAUGUACGGAACAUAAGAACUGAUUACUCCUUCUGCCUGGACAGUUAAGACUAAUGUGCAAGGCAAGAGCUGAAGUGCCAUCCCAAAGCAAGGCUAGGAGCUGCAAUAGUUCCUUCCCCUUGAGUUCUUAACCCACAGGGUAGAUGCCCAGCUAGUCUCUUGGUCAAGGUCAUGGUGAUCUCAGACGAGAUGUCUGAUGGGCCACCUGUUUCUUCUGCUGCGAUUGUAAAAGACUCUACCAAAUGACAGAGGUGUAAAACGCAUAUAUAUGAGAGGAAAAGUUAGGAGGUAAGUGUGCAAAACAAAAAGGAAGUGUUCUGGCUCACCUUGGAAAUGGGUACAGGGAUAUCAUUGUGACCAAGGGGCUGAACAAAUGAGUUGCUUCCCUGGCUCUUACAGCUGAUUUUCCUAAUGCAUUUGAAAAUAAUUCUCUUUGACCUGUGGUGCACAGUUCUCACAGGACUGACACAGAACUCAGUGCUGCCCCCAGAUCUUCUUCAUCACCUUUUGCUUCCUUUGCUGCUGUAUUCAGAAAUUAGUUUGGAAGUUACCUGAGCAGGAAUCCCAGGCCCAGAAGCAUCCAGCAUGCUUUCUGAGCCCCUUGACGCUUAAGUAAAAUACCCAAUAUCCUCGACUUGACUUGAACCUGCUGUUAUCAAGAAACAACCCUGCUUAUGGUAAUAUAAAGGUGAAGAGAUGAACUGAGCGUAAUGAAUGAAAUCUCGCUCUCAGUUUCAUCUGUGUGACCUCAUUUGCCUCACUGAAAAAGCAUAAAUGUACCUUAGCAUCAAACUUGUCUCACUGUGAGGAAAGAAGAGGAGCAGGAAUGCUAAAGGCCAUUGUGGGUUAAUGAAGUCCUGGAGAGAAGGGUGAUGGAUGGCUAUUCACUCUAUAGCUUGCUGUGCUGACAGAAGGCUACAAUAGUUUUUUUAAGCUAGUCUACACCUCCUCCUUCAAUACGCGUGACAUGAUAGGGGUGUUAGCCAUACUCUGAUACCUUACACACUGAACCCUUGAAGGAAUUUAGUCAAAGGAACAUCUUUGUUUUCAGUUCUUGAUUUGACUUGAGCUUGAUCUCUGCAUAAAGACCUUAUCUGAUUUUUCAUGGAUGCUUCCUUCCAACUUUCUAGGAGGCAUCCAUGAAAAACCCGGUAGCAGGCAUCAACCUCCCUUGUUUUGAAUGCCCUGUUGGACUUUUGUGACAUGUCACAAAAAUGUGGCAGACAUCACUACAUGCAGCUAUGUUCCACGUGUGGAAGUGAUCACACGCUACCUUGCCAUUACGUCUCAGCUUUCAGAUCACUUUUUCAUUUUAAAAGCAGUUCUGAGUGAAGAACUUAGUGCCUACUAAUAGUCACAUUUAUUAAUCGUCAGUCACAUUCCUGUACUUUGAAAUCCUUUGUCUACUGAGACAAAGGCAGUACAAGUCAAAUGUCCACAACGGCUCUGUCAAUUGCUUUUUCCCUGGAGCUAGACGGACACCCUUCGGAAAUCAGAAAAUAGUUUAUUUCCAGGCCCUUUGGAUUCUUGGUCUGUUUACUGAAAUCAUAAGGAGCCCACCUACUGGGUUUUAUAAUAAUGUAGCUACAUUUUGUCUUGUUUACAAUGUCUCUACUAAAAUUUAUCAUCUGCCAUUUGUACUGCAUCACAGCAAAAAGGUAGAAAUUAGGAAAUCAUACAAGAAAGUAAGAGAAAAGGAAAAUAUAAUCAAAGAUCCCAAUCCACUGCCAACUAAAAUCAGUAAGCAUUUUCUCUUGAUACAGUAUCAUAGAAUCAUAGACCAGUUUGGGUUGGAAGGGACCUUUAAAGAUCAUGCGGUCCAACCACUCUGCAAUGAGCAGGGGCAUCACCCACUAGAUCAUGUUGCUCAAAGCCCCAUCCGACCUGACCUGGAACAUUUCGAGGGAUGGCGCAGCCACAACGUCUGUGGGCAACCUGUUCCAAUGUUUUGCUACCCUCAUCAUAAAAAAUUUAUUCCUUAUGUCCAAUCUAAACCUACCCUCUUUCAGUGUAAAACGUUGUCCCCUGUCCUGUCACUACAGGCCUUGGGAAAAAGUGGGCCCUGUCCUCAAGCCUGUCAGAGUCCCUCUGGAUGGCAUCCCUUCGGUCAAGUGUAUGAACGUCACCACUCUUGGUGUCAUCCGCAGACUUGCUGAGAGUGCAAUCGAUCCCACUGUCUAUGUCACUGACGAAGAUAUUAAAUAGUAUUGGUCCCAGUACAGACUCUUGAGGAACACCACUGAUUACUGGUUUCCACUUGGACAUUGAGCCACUGACUUUAACUCUUUGGAUGCAGCCAUCCAGCCAGUUCCUUAUCCAUCUAACAGACCAUUCCUCAGACGCAUUUAUCUCCAAGUUAGUGGUACUUUUUAAAUUUGGUAUUUCUUCCCAAUUCAGAUAUGCUUCUGAAUGAAUAAUGAAAAGUCUUUAUAGCUUUCAGAUAGCAGGAGCUUCAAACCAAAACUGUAAUUUUUUCUU